UUCUUUGUUUUUUGUAUUGUCUCCGUGUUAUCUCCAUCCUUCAGCACUCACUGGCGACAAGUCCUCAUUGUGUGACAUGAGAGCCUGAGCCAACAUUGCGCAAAUCCCAGCAACGCCCCUCGCUGUUCAGCUGAAAUCAAUCUGGAGGAAGCAAAAGUCCCUAAUACCAGGGGAUUGGGUGAUGGGGCGUGUGCGGCCUCGGUAUAUAAGUGUACACAGGGCGGGAGACAGCAUGGGACUGCAGCUGAAGAUGGGGAAAUGGCUGCUGUAUUCUGUGCUCUUCAGCCUCCUGACUGCUGCCUACACUGCCCCCCUCCUGCCGGACCCCCAGAUCAUCACUCCACCUCCAGCAAUGGUCACAAGAGAAGAAGCUUCUAACUUGGAAAAAACAGCUGAAGAUCUACUAUUCCCGAAAAGUAAGAUUAAAGACCAUGACACCGUCUUGUGUCUACCUUGUCUGUUCACUCUGCUCCCCAAAUAGUGAGCAGCCAAUGCUACUCUGCACAAUGUUAAAGCUCCAUCAAGCCAUCCCAUAUCAAGAAGCUCCAACAAAACAACCAAUAUCCAUGAAGCUCCACCAAAGUAUCCAGUAUCAAGAAACUCCACCAAACCAUGCAAUAUCCAAGAAGCUCCACCAAACAAUCCAAUAUCUAUGAAGCAUCACCAAACCUUGAAAUAUUCAAGAAGCUCCACCAAACCAUCCAAUAUUCAAGAAACCCCUCUAAACCAUCCAGUAUCCAAGAUUCUCCACCAGAGCAUUCAAACUCCAAAAUGCUCUACCAAAGCAUUCAAUAUCCAUAAAGUUCAAUUUAAACAAUCCAAUAUCUAUGAAUCUCCACCAAAUAAUCCAAUAUCCAAGAAGCUCCAGCAAACCAUCCAAUAUUCAAGAAGCUCCACCAAACCAUCCAAUAUUCAAGUAGCUCCACCAAAUAAUCCAAUAUCCAAGAAGCUCCACAAAACCAUCCAAUAUCCAAGAAGCUCUGCCAAACCAUCCAAUAUUCAAGUAGCUCUGCCAAACCAUUCAAUAUCCAGGAAGAUUUCAUCUAAUGUUGACAGAUCUACCCUGAUGGACAAUAAAUGAAAUAAUUAACCAUCA